GGGAGGACGAGGGGAGAAGAGACAGUCAGGGGUCAGUGUUGGGAUCCGGAGAGCCUUUUCUUGAGUCAACUGUAUAACUUGGACUGGCAUUGCCUGGAUUUAUGAGGCCUUCCGUAGGAGCGAACGUCUUCAUGUUGAAUUACCCUGGCCCGGAGGUGGAUGCAGGUGAUGUCAGCCCGGGAAUCUGCCUGGAGAUAAUCAAGAUCGACACCGUGCCUUAUAACACACCUUAGUACCCUGUAAUCUGAGCACACCGGGGCUGAUUUAACCCCCUCACCACUGUCUCGAGAGCCCCAGGUCCUUACCCCGUGGGGUCGGACACGGAGCGCGGGGCAGGUUGCCCUGGGCUCCUGGGUCGCUCGGAUCUGCCUUCCCUUCAAUGAAAAGACCUCCUAUUCUGCUCCCGAGGAAUGAGCUGUCUGCCCAGCGCACUGGUUGGCUUGUUCAAAUCAGUGUCCAAAUUCCUUCCUGCACUUUCAGGGGACACUGGGAUGACAGCAGAUGAGAGGACUCUGAGAAGUUAGUGACUUGUCCAAGAUCAGCUAGGAAGCAAGACCCAGGAUUGCAAUCCAGGGCUGCUGUGAGGAUCAAACAAGAUAAUGUAUGCUAAGGCAUGCUGUGAACACUACGUGCUGGGUACAGGAGAAUGGAGGCCCCAGGGUGGGUCUAACGACACUCUUGUUGAUGAAGAUCUUGGCUGUGACCUCUGUGGAAAAUGAGCCAUGGACCAACCAACGUGAGUGAUGAUUCAAUCAUUUCUUCAUUCUCCCAUGAGGAGGAUCUUUGCUGUCCCUUCUGUAGAUAAGGAGCAAAGUGACUCAUGUAAAUGACAGAGUUUGUGUUCUUGGUUUGGAGAGUCUGCAUUUUCACCAAGUGAACACACCAGAGAUGAUUUCAUCAUUCUCCAAUGCGAAAGAUCUUGGCUUUCACAAACCCUGUGGGUAAGGAAAGAAGAAAUUGAUAAUGACCAUAAGACAGCAGACUUAUUCAUUUUCUAAAAAACAACAUCUUGGCAGUUUGCUCUGUGUGUAAAGAACAUAGAGACAAAUAAUGAACACAAAGCUGAUUUAAUCAUUCUGUAAUCCUCAAGACCUGGAUGUUAAUUCUGGGACUAAGAAGCGUAAAAACUGAUGUAAGUAAUAUCACUGUUUGUGUUCAAGGCUUCGAUGGGGGUUAUUUAUGGGAGCCCACUAAAUUAGUUCAAUAAAAUAAGUAGUUAAAUAAUAUAUGAAAUUAAGGAAUGCCAAUCCUGAGCCCUAUGAUUGGAAUGUGUCACGAAUUAAAAUUUAUAUUUACUUUGACUCCUCUCAGCUAAGGACCAUCACUAACGUGAUGGAGGGCAUUUCACAUAUUCUCAAAGCAGUCUAUCUUCCCAUUUAAUAUUCUUGCCACGUUUGCUUAAUACAUUCCUUCACUGAUAAAGGUCUCAAUUAUUAUCGCUUUGAGGCCGGAAGACCUUGAAAGAUGGCAGAUGUCAGUUUUGUCCCUUGUGGGUUAAGGUGAUAGGUCUGUGGUUGUCGAUGACACCAGUUUUCACGUAUGGGCAAGUCCAGUGAAAACGAGCAGGUGGACACCACUCAUAAGUAAGGGACUGAUACAAAGCAAGCUUGCUGAUUAAUCCCUGUGAGUAAAACAGGUUCAUUGUGAAAAGUGAGGAACUAUUUGCUCCUCAUGAAUGGGGGCAAUGAGCAGAUCUUGGUUGUCCUUCAGGCUUUUGUUCUCAGUUUUGUGUCAUUAAAGGUGAUUGAUUGUAGAACUGUUAACCAUGAAUCUGUGAAUGAAUGAAUCCAUUCAAAAGUCAUAAGUGAAUGAAGACCUAGCAAGCUGUGCCUGGAUCAAUGGUGAGUAUUUGGUGGAGGUAUCUGAAUCAACACCUUUGAUAAAGCCCUCUGUGUAACUCUGAGGUCCAUUACGGAGAAGGAACCAGUCAAUAUUCUCUGUAGAAAUUAGUUAAUAGUAGAAGUUAGGAAAAUUCAAUAAACUUGCCCCAGGCUUUUGUGGUUCAUGGAUAUGGAUUGUAUUAUUUCAAGUCAAUCAAUGCAUGAAUAAAGAAAUGAAUACAUGAAACACUAAAAGCCUCCUCAUGGGACAAUUAGCAGAGUGCAGUAAACACUAUUAAUAUCAAUACAAUUCUGAAGGAAAAUGGAAAGGCUUACUGUGUAAUCCCCUUUUAUAUGGAACAUAUUAGUGUCUGCAGCUGAGAGGCAGUGUUUGGAGUUUUUGUAGUUUGCUGGGGGUUUUUUAAACCUAAGAAAAAGGAAAGUGUUUGCCUCAGUCAAUAAUCUGUUAGAUAACCAUCUUUUUAAUAGGUUUUGAUACAGGUAGAUAUUUGUAAACAUUAUAGAUCUUAAUCUUGGGCUAAGGUGGUGGACUUAAUAGUAUUUAUUAUAUUUUUUAUCACUAAGAAUUCCAUACUGGAUUAAUAAAGAAUUGCAUGUUUGAGCCAAAGUUCUUAUUGGUAUCUAGCUCUGUCUGAUUAACAGCUAUUAAAAAAUUCUAAAUGUAGUCUAUAUCUGCUUUUUCCUACCUAGAGUGAACAAUAGCACUGCUCACUCAGUCAUUUAGUAAGAGUUAUUAUAGUCAGCCAGGAGCAUGGAGACUAAUAUAAGUAAGUCCCUUAGUUCACAUUCUUUGUUUGGAUGGCUUGUUCAUGGGUGUUAUCUGAAGAAUUUAGAAGUAAAUAAUUGUGUACUACACACACAAAAUAAAAAAAACACUUCAAGUGUGGACCGAAGAUGGGAAUGUGUUAUAAACCAAAAAUUUUGUUUAAUCUAAAUCAGUACAAUAGAGGUAAUUUUAAAAGAAGGUAGAAGUUAUUUAAUUUAUUUUCAGAGCAGUUUAAUAUUCUUUAUUUUUUACCAUGGUUGGUUUCAGCAUUCCCAUAUGGGUAGAGCUAGCUGAUAGCUCUUUUGGGGCAGCCCAGAGGUGAUUGAAGAUGGUGGUUUCAUUAUUUUUCAUUGAACCAUCUUUGACAUAUGGACAAAUUAAAUAAGAAAGGGCCACACAGGAAGCAGUGCUAAAUGUGGGUUUGAUACAAAGCAGGGAAGUUUGACCCAUCUGCACGUGUAGCUUUGAACAGCAUUACAAAAAGAUGAGUUUCUUAGCUCUUUGGGAGAAAAGCCUAAAAUUCAAAGAUCUUGUUUUUGGAAUUUUACGAUUGUUUUAUUAUUUGUGAAUUGGAAUAUUAAUCAAUAAACAAAAAAAAAAUUUCCUAGUAUGGACCAAUGAUGAAUGUCAUGGGGUUUCUGAAACAAGAAUUUUGAUUAAACCCAUCUGCAACUGAGGUCCAUUACAAAGAAACACCUCAUUAUUCUCUUUGUGGGAAAUGAGCCUACAGCAUCUUAUUCGUGGGCUUUUGUGGUUUGGGGUAUGAAUUGCAUUAUUAUAAUAUAAUUAGCCCAUGAAUAAAGAAAUAUAUCAAUGAAUAAAGAAUAAGAGAGAUAUACACGCAUUACUUUUAAGGCAUAUAAUGAAACGUGGGUAGUUACUAAAACAAUUUUGAGAUAUUUAGUCCCAAUAAAUUAGUAGUCAAGGUUUUUAUCACUUUGGUAAGGGACAUAUGGUCAACUGCGCAUAAGAGUCAGUGUUUUGUUUUGUGUUGAGGCACAUUGCCAAUUGAUCAUUUUAUUAAGGAAAGGAAAAUAUAUUUACAUAAGUAGUUGAUUGAAUAAACUAUGUAAUUGAGAGGGAGAGCAUGGAGCAAUGAUGAUGUUUCAUACAACCACACUCAUGAUUAAUGCAAUCUUUUUAUGCAGUUUUAUGUAAGCAAACAAAUAUUAAAGAAUCAGUUUGCUAUUCUUCUGGGUAAUGACAUAAGGACAAAUGUAAAUAUUAUUCAAAGUACUUAUCCAGUGUGAGUGGGCUGACAUAUACUGAAGUAUAAUUAUAAGUGAGCAAAUGUAUUUGCAUUUAUAUCAGUUUUUUAAAAAGUCAGCCAACGAUGCACAAAAGGAAAGCAUGCAGUUGGAUGUAAAGAUCAUGAUGUGUCAUGUUUUAUACAGUUGAUAUCCAUAAGAAUUCAAAGAGCUCUAGGCCUUUCUAAUGGUGCACAUAGACAUUUAUAAAUAAUAAGUAUUUUUUGCUUCUCUUUUGAUGGUUGUUUAAUUUUUCGAAUUCUUUUAGAAAAAUGAAGGGAUGGCCUACUUAUCCCAUGAGUAAUUAAAUAGAACAAUUAGUGAGUGAAUUAAUAAAUAUAUUAAGUAGGUUCAGGCUUGGAUCCCUGGUGAGAUUGUGCCUUGAAUUGAAUCUCCCAGGUAUCCAAUUCUGCACAAAUAAAGUUCACCUAAAAAGAUGAUCCUGGCUUUUACCAAGUCCAGACAGAUAUUCCUAAUAAUUAUAAUUAUUUUUCUCCUGUUUAGUCCUAGGUUCAGUGGUGUUCAUUCUAUUAUUUAAAAUAAAAAAUCGCACAAAUUAGUAAAUAUAAAGUAGAAUUCUCUUUUCCAAAUGUUUAGAAAAUUAUGGAAAUUUAGGUUUAUGGUUGACUUUUGAUCAUUUAAAAUAGGUAAAUAUAGACUGAUUCUUUUUAAAGUUUGCCUUUUACUCCUCAGAAUGAGCAUAAUCUACUAGAUUUGAUUAUUAUCUCAUGGUGAAGAUCUUGCCUUUUAUUUCUUUGGGUAAAGAGAGAAGAGAUCAAUGUAAGCAAUAAUCAAUGUUCAUGUAUUGCUUGGGGGCUUGAUCAUGGGUAUUCACUGAGAUGUUUUGAAAGAAUAAAUGGCUGCAGACAUGAGCAGGUUCAAGGGUGGUCAUGCAUUGCCCAAUGAUUAAAAUAUGUCAUGAAUUUAGAAUUAUGAUUAAUCCAUUUCAGCAUUACUAAAUUUCUUGAGAUGAAGGAUGAAAGGCAUUUCAAUAAUUUUCAAAACACUUUUAUACUCCAUUUUACUUUUGUUCCACAGUUGACUUAAAUACUUCUCCGUUGGUUGAUAUUAUAGACUAUGAACCCACUUAUGGGAGAACAUAAGAAAAUGGGAAAUUUUGCCUUUUUCUUACUCAUGGUACAAAAUAGUAGUUCACUGUACCAUCUUUAUAAAACAUGGAUGUUAAAUUAAAGAGCCCAAGCAGGGACCAAUGACUAAUGGAAAUGAGAUGAUGCAAGGAUAUGGAUUAAUUCAUAUUUGCAAUGCUGAGGUGGAUUGCACAGAGAGCUAGUCCUGUAGCUCUGUAGGAAGUCAGCUUUCUUGGACACAUUCUUAUCUUCAAGGACCUUCAUUUUAUUUUCCUAAUUCAUGCACACUGACUGUAUUAUUAAUGAAUCGAUGAAUAAGUCAGAACAAUAUAUUAAAUGAAGGCACAGAAUACCAAGUCUGGAUCAAUGAUGAGUGUGCGUGGGGCAUCUGAAUAAAAUUUUUGAUUAAACCCAGUCUGUAACUCUGAGGUCCAUUGCAUCUAUGGGAAAUGUGCUUAUAGAUGAAAUUAGAAAUAUUGGAGGUGGUCUUGUUUUGUGUUGUUGUUUUAUUGUUCACAGCUAUGAAUUGUAUUAUUAUAAGUAAAGUAUAAGUAAAGAGAAGGGCUGCACCUUAUCCAAUCAUGAAAGGAGCUAAUGAAUCAAGAAUUAUUAUUAAUAUUUUUCUGGCAUUUUGAGCUAAAAUAAAGGAGACUAAGGCUGCUCCUCCUUUGGGAACAUAUAGAUGGAUAUAUGUGCACCUCAGUGUUUUUGUUCUGAGGUGGUAGUGAGUCAGUGGCAUGUCUUAUUUUAAAAAGAGACAAGAAAAUUACAUAUUGCAUAGUAAUCAGCAAUAUUUAAUAGAAUAUGUAUAUUCAAUUAUAAUCUAGCAAAUCAUGAUAAGCCCAUUAGUAUGAAAUGAUUUUAAUAAACAAGAUUUAACAUAGUAAAUGAUAAAAAAUAAAAUACAUUAUUAAAUAUUGAAAUGUAGAAAAGGUCUAAGCAUGAACAUUGGAAAGGUGAGUAUAGUAAUUGUGUUCAUUGACUUUUCUUUCAAAAGAAAAAUGGAAAAAUAAAUAACUAAAAAUGAAAGAAAAAUGUAAAUGCAUUUUGUUGAUUUCUGCAAAUGAAAAGUCAAUGGAUACAUUUAGUAUCACUUAGCCUUCUUAUGAAGUAUCCUUAGGGUUCAUCAUUAUUGGUGCCAUUAUUAGUAGUGAGUAAAAGAAUAACUGUAUAUCUCAAUCCAUUAUUUAAAAGAAUGUAAACCAUGGGUCAGUGAGGAGCACAUAUAAUGUCUGAAGGAGCAUGAUUAACCUGUUCUAUCCUCUUGAAGUCCACCUAAGUAAAAAAGAUACAGGCCCCUCCUUCAGGGAAAGAUCAUAUAACCCCCAUUUUCUAAAUACAUCUUGCUGUUAACAUUUAAAUUCAAAUUAAUUAAAAAUAGAAAUUCACACCCUUUGUAACACUAGCCACAUUUCAAAAGAUAUGUGGCCAGUGGUUGCCAUAUUGAAUAGUGCUAAUAGAGAAUAUUUCCAUCACUUCAGGAAGUUCCAUCAGUGCAAACAGUGCUGAGAUAGAAAGUUGCAUGUAAUAAUAUUUAGUUUUGGGUGGUUGAUGGCUCUACCAUUUUAUGUUUUCUGUAGAAAAAAAAGAGUAGAUAAUUAAAUUAUCCUUAGAGUUAUUUAAAAAGUGAGUAAAUAAAUUAAUUGAUAAACACAAGAAUUAAAGGAUAGUAUGGCUCAUUGUUCAGAUUGUUUCAUGAAAUAAGAAUUUAAAUUCAUGCCAUUUUGCUAAAGUUUUCCCACUGAAAGAUUAUCUGAACUUUUUACUAUUUGGUAGGUUAUAGAGACAGAUAUCAAUAAUAGUGCUAGUUCCUUUUGUGUUCGGUGGUAGAUUAUAAAAGAUCUUCUUUAUGUUAUUUCACACUAAAAAUUGAGUAAUUCAGUAGAUGAAAAGGAUACCACUGUUGUAUUGAUGAAAAUGUGACACGAACCAAUAUUUAUGAUUAAUCUAAUGCAGAACUAACUUCUACUUAAAAAUCUACCUUAUCUUCCUGGAUGUGAAUAUUCCACAUUGGAUUCAGCCAUUGUCCAAUGAAGAAGAUCUUGACUGUUACUUCUGUGGGUAAGAAGUAAAUGUAACAGUCAAAGUUUGUUAUUGUUCGUAUGGUUUGUCCAUAUGUGGUCACUAAGGUAGUUAAAUAGAACAAAAGGCUAUAUACACAAAAAUAAAAAUGUAAGAACACCAAGUAUGGACCAAUAGUGGGAAUGUGUUCUGGGCCAAGGAGUAGAAUUAACCCAUUUCAGCGCAACUGAGAUGCAUUUUUUUUUUAAUGGAAGGCAUUUAAUUAAUUUUUGGAACUGUCUGCUAUUCCAUAUUAUUUCUAAAGCACAGAGGAUUGAAGUAUUUUCAUUUUGAUAGAGAUCCAGGCUAUUAACUGUUAAGAGGAAGGAGCUCUCAGAAGGUAGAGCAUAUUGUCUGUGUUCUAAAUGUGGGAUACAAUUGUGGUUUUUUUAAUACACCAUGCUUAAAACUGGAAAUUAAAUGAACAUGGCCCAACCAUGGGACAUUUUUAAUGAUGGUAUUGAUAUGAAGCAAGGUUCACAUGGAGAUCUAGUCUGAAAGCUCUGUGAGAAAUCAGUCUAGAGACAGAUUAUAGUUCUAUUGAGUAUCUUGUUCUGGCAGUUGGUGAUUCAUAGGAAAAUGAAGGUAGAAAUGAAUGAAGAAAGAGUGCCAAGUGUGGACCAAUGAUGAGAUUGGAGGGUGUCUGAAUCAAAAAUUUUGAUUAAAGCCAUCUGUGACUCUGAGGUCCAUAAUUAAAAAGUGGCCUCAUUUUUUUCCUCUAUGGAAAUGAGCUUAGAGCAGAAGUUCAGAAUGUUCAAGUAUCUUGAUUAUGGGCAUACACACUUUAUGGGUAUAGACUGAAUUCUUGUAAGUAAAUCAUGCAUGAAUAAAUUGAAGAAAUAUAAUAAUGGGUAAAUAUAAAGAAAUCUGGGCAUAGACCAAUUGUGAGAGUAUAUAAUGAAACGGGGAUUGUUAUUAUACAUUUCUGUGGCCCUGAAUUCCAGUUAAAUCUAUCUCUAAAGGCUGUUGCCCCAUUUUGGAAGGAGUGGGUAGGCAGAUGUAUGUAAGACUCAUGUAGGUGGUUGCUUGUUGGUGGUUGUUUUUAUUUAGAAAAGGAAAAAUUACAUACAUAAAUAAUCCAUUAAAUACUUAAUUGGAAACAGAAUGAACAUAGUUCAUAUUAGAAUGUGCCUUAUGAACAGAGUUAUUAUUAAUCUACCUCUGUUCACUGAAUUUUAUUAAAAAGGAGAAACAGCUCAUUUUUAAAGCUCUGUGGGUACUAUAAUAGACAUAGAGACAAAAUAAUGUUUUUCAAGUUUCCUGUCUAAUAUUAGUUAAUUCCCAGAUAUUGAUGAAUUAUUACAUUUGAGUAGAUUAAGUCCUAACCACAGUUUUUUUAAAAAAAGGGGGCAAAACAUGGCCCAGUAAGAAGCAAGAAUAAUGGUUAAUCUUUGUUUAUACUACUGAUCAUCUCUUCGUAGCUUGGGUAUGGGCAUGUGGACACUUGCACAUGAAGAGCAUUUCUAUUCUGGGUUGUUCAUGGGUUUACCUGUGUGUGUAUUUUAGUAUAUUUUAAUGUAUGAUCAAAUAUUCCCCGAGUCACUCCAUAAAUAAAUAAAUAAAACAAUGAACAAUUGAAUUAAUAUAUGAGGAGGGUCAAGCAUAGAUCUUGGUGAGAAUAUGCCAUGAAUCACACAUUUAAACUCCUCUAUUUCUACACAGAUUGAGUCCUUCAGAAAAAGGACUAUGUGGGUAGGGGGUCUCUAGACAGAUAAGUGCAAUAGGCAGAGUUUUUAUUUUUGCAUGAUGAACUCAACAGUAUUCGUUGUAUUAUUUAAAAUUUAUAGUUAAAUCAAGAAAUAAAUAAGGAGUGAUGUUCUUGGGUCAGUGAUGAAAAUGAGAAAUGAACCAACUUCUUGAUUAAUCUUGUACCACACAACUAUUUUCCUUUAAAUCAGUCUAAAUCUAGACUGUUCAUUCUUUUGAAUAUUGGCACUUGACUCCACAGAAUGAAGACAAUGGUUGAUUUAAUUAGUCUCUACUGAUGAAGAUCUUGGCUGUUAUCUUUGUGGAAUGGAUGCAUGAUGAAUUAAUUAUGGAGUGUAGAAACUUAUGUAAUAACAGUCAAGAAUGGAUGCUCCCGGCCAGUUUAAGCAUCUCCAUGGUCUUGAGCUCUCUGGUUGCCUAGGAGCCUAGAGAUCCAUAAUGGAUGCACUUGAGCUGAUUCCAUGUAUUUGGCUCCAUUGUUAGGAACACAGACACGAAUAGUGGCCACACCAAGCUGAUUAAAGCAUCUUCCAUGAUUAUGAGCUCUAUAUGUGGGAGAUGGAGACCAGUAAAGGUUGCCCUGGAGCUGAUUUCACGAUUCUCUCAUGGUCACAAGAUGUCUGCUUGUCUCUAUGUGUUUGGUGCAUUGAAGGAAUGUACACACCCAAGGUGGUUUAAGUAGUAUGCCUUGGCCAGUGAUCUCUACAUUUGCCUGUAGGAACAUGAAACCAACAAUGGGUGCAUGACUGCAGUGCGUUGAAGCAUCUUCCAUGGUCAUGAGCUCUGUGGUUGCCUCUUGGUGUAAUGAGCACAGAGACCAAUAAUGGAUAUACUUGAACUUACAGAGUCAUUUGGCCGUGAUCUAGUGCUCAUGGAUGCCCCUGGGUGUAAGAGCAUGGAGAACAAUAAUGGAACUCCAAGCUGCUUCGCCGUGGUCAAGAUUGUCAUGUUGCUUCCGUGUUGGAAAGAGACCAAG